rnacentral:rRNA from 1 species
GACGGAGGGUGCAAGCGUUGUUCGGAAUUACUGGGCGUAAAGGGCGCGUAGGCGGUCUGUUAAGUUCGGUGUGAAAGCCCCCGGCUUACCCGGGGAACUGCGCCGGAAACCGACAGACUCGAGUACCGGAGAGGAGGUGGAAUUCCGUGGUGUAGCGGUGGAAUGCGUAGAGAUCCGGAAGAACACCGGUGGCGAAGGCGGCCUGCUGGGCUGUGGCUGACGCUGAGGCGCGACAGCGUGGGAGCAAACAGAA